UACGAAGGUGGCAAGCGUUGUUCGGAUUUACUGGGCGUACAGGGAGCGUAGGCGGUUGGAUAAGCCCUCCGUGAAAUCUCCAGGCUUAACCUGGAAAGUGCAGAGGGGACUGUUCAGCUAGAGGAUGGGAGAGGAGCGCGGAAUUCCCGGUGUAGCGGUGAAAUGCGUAGAGAUCGGGAGGAAGGCCGGUGGCGAAGGCGGCGACCUGGAAGGUAACUGGCACUGAGCAGCGAAAGCGUGGGUAGCAAACAGG
rnacentral:rRNA from 1 species